rnacentral:rRNA from 1 species
AACGAACGCUGGCGGCAUGCCUAACACAUGCAAGUCGAACGAGACCUUCGGGUCUAGUGGCGCACGGGUGCGUAACGCGUGGGAACCUGCCCUUAGGUUCGGAAUAACUCCCCGAAAGGGGUGCUAAUACCGGAUAAUGUCUUCGGACCAAAGAUUUAUCGCCUUUGGAUGGGCCCGCGUUGGAUUAGCUAGUUGGUAGGGUAAAAGCCUACCAAGGCGACGAUCCAUAGCUGGUCUGAGAGGAUGAUCAGCCACACUGGGACUGAGACACGGCCCAGACUCCUACGGGAGGCAGCAGUGGGGAAUAUUGGACAAUGGGCGAAAGCCUGAUCCAGUAAUGCCGCGUGAGUGAUGAAGGCCUUAGGGUUGUAAAGCUCUUUUACCCGGGAUGAUAAUGACAGUACCGGGAGAAUAAGCUCCGGCUAACUCCGU